GUGGGUCUGGGGUCAGGUGGGGCUUUAAUGCCUCUUCAUUCUCUGGGCAGAAGGCUGGGCAGCAGCAGCCAUGUGCUUUGACGGGACCUGGGCUCUCCUGCUAGGAGUUCCUGGGGGCGGGAAGGCUGCUCCUGACGACUUCUGAUAUGUACAGACUGGAAUAAGAGAACCUAGCAGAAAUGGAGGCAGAGGCAAAAGAUUCAGAGGAAAAUGUCAAUGGAAAGCCGCUAGCAUGGACACCCCACAGUGUUCUUCCCUCUAGCAGCCUGGUAUUAUCUGGAGCUGAGAUGCUGGCUAAGGUGGUUGGGACAUUUGUCCCCUCCAAAUCUCAUAUGAGAAUUUGAUUCCCAGUUUUGGGGAUUGGGUCUAGCGGGAGAACUUUGGGUCAUGACGGGGGGCUUGGCGUCCUGCUCACAGGAAUGAAUGAGUGCUCGCUCUACUAGUUUGCUGGAAAGCUGGUUGUUUAAAGAAACUGGCAUCUCCCCCACUUUCUCUCUUGCUCACCCUCUUACUGUGUGAUAUCCCUGCUCCCUUUGCUAUCCAUCAUGAGUGGAAGCUUCCUGAAGCCCUCACCAGAAACAGAUGCCAACACUAUGCUUCCUGUACAGUCUGCCAUACCAUGAGCCAAAAUAAAC